rnacentral:rRNA from 1 species
UACGUAGGGACCAAGCGUUGUUCGGAUUUACUGGGCGUAAAGGGCGCGUAGGCGGUUGAGUAAGUCGGGUGUGAAAACUCUGGGCUUAACCCAGAGCCGCCACCCGAUACUGCUCUGACUUGAGUUCGGUAGGGGAGCAGGGAAUUCCUAGUGUAGCGGUGAAAUGCGCAGAUAUUAGGAGGAACACCGGUGGCGAAGGCGCUGCUCUGGGCCGAUACUGACGCUGAGGAGCGAAAGCGUGGGUAGCAAACAGG